UACUUUCACUUCCUGAACUUGGUGCAGUGGAGCUUGUUGUUGGUGUGUGAAGAAACUGUAGAAAGUGUGUGUGAGCUGAUGUGAGCAGCAUGGAUCAGUGUGAGGACAGAGAGGAGGGAGUCCCUCCCUCUAAAAGCACUCUGUGUGGGGAACAUGAGAGCCAGACCAAAGCUCAGAGGAACCCACCUGCACCUCCACCCAGCUCUGUGUCCUUAAAGAGUGACCGGUCUAAAGAU